rnacentral:sRNA from 1 species
GCCGGUGGCUCGGUGGCGGCGGCGUCUACCCCCAGCUCCUCCUCCCUCCUCCUCCGUCUCCUCCUCUCUCUCUCCAUCUGCUGUGGUUAUGGCCCGUCGCUGGAGCACAAAAGAGUCUCCGCGGUGGAGGUCUGCGUUGCUCUUGCUUUUCCUCGCUGGGGUGUACGCUUGUGGAGAGACUCCAGAGCAAAUUCGAGCACCAAGUGGCAUAAUCACAAGCCCAGGCUGGCCUUCUGAAUAUCCUGCAAAAAUCAACUGUAGCUGGUUCAUAAGGGCAAACCCAGGCGAAAUCAUUACUAUAAGUUUUCAGGAUUUCGAUAUUCAAGGAUCCAGAAGGUGCAAUUUGGACUGGUUGACAAUAGAAACAUACAAGAAUAUUGAAAGUUACAGAGCUUGUGGUUCCACAAUUCCACCUCCAUAUAUCUCUUCACAAGACCACAUCUGGAUUAGGUUUCAUUCGGAUGACAACAUCUCUAGAAAGGGUUUCAGACUGGCAUAUUUUUCAGGGAAAUCUGAGGAACCAAAUUGUGCUUGUGAUCAGUUUCGUUGUGGUAAUGGAAAGUGUAUACCAGAAGCCUGGAAAUGUAAUAACAUGGAUGAAUGUGGAGAUAGUUCCGAUGAAGAGAUCUGUGCCAAAGAAGCUAAUCCUCCAACUGCGGCUGCUUUUCAACCCUGUGCUUACAACCAGUUCCAGUGUUUAUCCCGUUUUACCAAAGUUUACACUUGCCUCCCCGAAUCUUUAAAAUGUGAUGGGAACAUUGACUGCCUUGACCUAGGAGACGAGAUAGACUGUGAUGUGCCAACAUGUGGGCAAUGGCUAAAAUAUUUU